AUGAAUCUCCUUCAGCAUAUCCCACAUUUGUACGGGCUUGCCUCCGACUCCCGUCCCGUGUCGCUCCCGAGCGAGCGACCCAGGAGUAACCUAGCACCGCCACCAGCAGCCUCCCCCCCUCCCCCCCACCUCCCCGGCCAGCACCUCUACGUCGCUGCCGGCUGGAGCCGCGGCAGCGGCGGCGGCCUCCUGCUCAAGAGCCGUCGGCGACAGAUCCCGGCGGCGCGGCGCGGGGCUGCCCUGCUUCGCUCUGAGUUGCUCGCCUCGUGCGGCGGCUCAAGAGAUAGAUUUUUCUUACUCAAGAGUACUAAAGCGUCGGAGACGUGGGAGGUGGGGGAUGGAAGUGGACCCACGAAGUCAUGGAUGCUUAUCCAGAAAAACGAGACCGCUCGGAACCCCUGGUUCCUCAGCGAUUUGCGAUUCCUGGCCGUCCGAUCGAGUUGCUUGAUUGAUUUCCGGCCGUCGGAUCGACCCUUGGAGCGACCUCGUCCGUCGGAUCGAAACCCGCACCCCCCUGACCGCGGCCGUCAGAUCGAAACCCGCCCCCUCGUAGCACGUUCGAAGCCCGCACGACCCCGCUCCCUUCGCCUGCCCGCAGCGCACGCCCCCGCUCCGUUCACCUGGCCGCGGCUCGCUGAUCGGUGGGGUCCCGUCUGGUGGGCCCCGAUCGUCAGCGAGCGGGUGUGCGGGUGCGCCUGUACGCGUCCCGUGCCAUGCGCGCUGGUGGAAAUAUCCCGUGCCACCGCACGGGAAUACUACCCCCCGCCGAGGGCUUUUUCGACUUUGCGCGUCGAGGCUGCUUGCGUGGUGGACGGUGGUUGGCUUCGUGCGGGUGGCUCGCUUCUCAUUCGCCCCCUCUCUCUGUCGCCCCCGAUUGAACCCAAGCUGCCGCUCGCCGCUGGCCGUCCUCCUCGACCAGAGAGGGAGGGCGCCGCCAUCACCACCAGUCCACCAUGGCCUCCUCCUCCUCGCUUAAGAUCCCCGCACCAACCCACCACCCUGCCGAAGAGGGCGCGUCCGCGGCGGCUGCCCUUCCACGCCGUCUCCGUCCGCCCCCGCCGCUCCGCAGUCUCCUCCGCCUCCGCCGCAUCCUCCCCGCAGCAGCUGCCGGCACUGGGCGACGGCGACGACGCCAACAGGCCCACCGGCGUGCCCGUGCCCGAGCCCUUCUCCCGCGACGCCGCUAUCGCGCUGCCUCGUAAGCCAAACAUCUCGCUCUCGCUUCUUGGGAUGAUUCGUCUGCUGCUCGCUUUGUCUGACUGUCUGCGAAUCCCUGAAUGCAGGGCCGUUGACGAGCGCGGAUCUGAUGGGGCAGGCCAGGGGGAAGGCCUCAGGUUCGCUUACCAGGGGUGCCCGGGCGCCACGGAUCUGCAGGUCGACCCUUGUCCUCCUCUCUGCUCCUCUUAUGGGGAGUGGCCAAUGAGUGCCUUUUUUAUGUCUUGCUCCUGGUAG
rnacentral:rRNA from 1 species